GAUCAGUGUCGGGGACGAAGUUCGCGGGGGUUGGUAAAAAGCGUCUAUAGCAAGAUUAAAGGGGUGGUGUAGACAAGUGUUGGAAGGAAGGAAGGAAGGAGAAGGAAGGAAAGGAGGAAGGAGGGUCGGUCGCAUACCGUCGCACGAAUGGCGUCUGCGCGACUGACGUCACCAUAUUGAUUUCCCUUUGGUACCGCGAGCGUAGAGUCGGAGCAUCGAUUUGGCACCUCUCGCUACCAGCUAAAGGGAUUGACAGAGAGGAGAGUCCAGUGAGCGAAACAGAGGUGAGAGGUGAGCAAGGUGUCCAGCGAAGCGGCUGGUUGUCCUCAGGAACUGGGAAACAGUGUGGUUGUUCAGCGAUGCAGAAUUAUGGCCACGAGGACUACGACUAUGAGACUGGGACUGGACACGACGGCGUUGCCCGCUCCCUUCCGUCGGUUCCUGGCCAGCCUGGAGGACUCGGAGUCCCCGCGGCCCCGGGGAUCAGACCCAUAGUCGACCCUCAGGCCCAGGGUGAGGUGGACCCGACGGUAUACCCCCAGCCGAAGGAGGCUACUCACAAGAUUCGUGGGAAGAGCGACAUCCUCGAGUACCUGUUCGGCUCCGUAGACCAGGAACUCCUCACCGUGAAAACGUUCUACUUCUUCUUCUACUCUGCGUUCGGUUCUCUGUUCCCGCUGAUGGGUGUAUACUUCAAGCAGAUGGGAAUGAACGCCGGUCAGUGUGGUCUUCUCAUCGGAUCCAGACCCUUCGUUGAGUUUCUCAGCGCUCCGUUUUGGGGCUCACUUGCCGACAGAUGGCAGAAGGGGAAGAUGAUUCUUCUCGCAUCGCUUUCCUGCUGGAUAAUCUUCACCCUUCCUCUGGGCUUCAUUGAACCACCGGCUAUAUCGUGCAUGGUUUUAGAAAACGACGUGCCGAUGCUUAAGAACCCCGAGCGAGACACGCGGAUCGGGAAGCGUUCGGUCAGUAUGGAGAGCUACUACCGUCCCGACGACGACAUGACGGAUUUAGAGACGGCGGAUAACGUGGUUUUCGAAAGGAUUCGCCGAGAUGUUGGGGGCGCCGAAUACGACCAUCGUAGGUCUUCGAAGCGGGUCCGAGCGUCGAGCGAUCAUGUCAACAUGAGGCGAACCCUGGGUUACGAUUUAGAUAACAAUGAAGUUGAUGACGCUCAAAGUCCCUACGACCUGGAGGGUAACAGGGUGACGCGCGAGACACACCUCGACCCCGAAGACGGCGUUGCCGAGGAUCUGGAGUACAAGCAAUUCAUGGAAAGUGAGGAGAUCCCGGAUCCAUCCGUCCAAUCCGUCGAUUUAAAGAGCUUGGAACGGAGAAACAGACCCGCUGACGUUCUGGAAUACAAAAGGUUUUUAAAGAACGAGCCUUUGGACGAAAGCAGACCGCCGAAGAAGGCUUACACGAAGUCGAAGACGCACGUUAAACCUCCAAGAGAAAAGGUAAUGGUGAAGAGAAACAUAGUCAGUAGGGGUUCGGACAUCCUGCGGCAUCACAGGUAUAAGAAGUUGGGUAAACGGGAAACGAAUUCGAGACAAAUUGUCGCUUCGAAAAAUGACAUUUACGGUAUGAGUGUUAAGGGUCUGAGGAAAUUGAUGUUCGUCGAAGAUGUAGAAACGGAAACGUCUGGGACUAGGAGUCGUCGUUCGGUAAAGGGGUAUCACGUCCCACAAUCAAGUGGCCGAAGUCCGUUUCCGGUCACUUACGCCGCAAACUACAACAAAAAAGAGGACGAGGAUUUGGUCAAGCCGAUGUUCAGUUCAAUCGUAUACAAAAUUUCGGAUAUCCAAAAGACGUUCUUCCUUCUGCUCCUCCUCGUCAUCGUCGGUGAGUUUUUCUCGGCACCUGCGAUCACCUUGGCUGACUCUGCGGUCAUCACUCUUCUCGGCGAGGACGCAGACAGGUACGGACACCAGCGUAUGUUCGGAAGUCUGGGAUGGGGCUUGGCCAUGUUCUUCGUCGGAAUCGCCCUUGAUCACAGCACCGCGUUUCCGGAUCAUCCCUGCGAGCCAGACGCCAGAGAAAAAAAUUACACCAUUUGCUUCGCCACGUUUAGCGUCCUUAUGGGCGCAGCAUUGAUCACCGCGACGCAGAUAAACUUCAAGUAUGAUUUUCCCGUUGCGGAACCGGAAGUGUCAAAACCUGCGGCCGAACCAACCCGGGAAGAACAACUUCAGAGUCAAUUGUCCCAGCAGCUGAAUUUACCGGGCCUUCAAGAUUCGUCGGGAAACCCUGACCCCAAGCCACAACCACCGGAAGGCAAGACGAAAAUGUUCGCGCAAACAACGCGGGAAAUUCCCGAAUGGGUCACAGUCCUGAACCAGUUCAAGGACCUGAAGUGCGCGUCCUUUCUCUUCGUUGCAUGGUUCAUGGGAUUUGGAAUAGGGCUGAUAUUCACUUUCCUCUUCUGGCACCUGCAGGACUACGGAGGAAGUCCGACGCUCUUCGGAGUAGCCUCGGUGAUCAAUCACAUAUCCGAGAUCUUCGCCUACUUCUUCAGCUUCAAGUUAAUCCGACAAAUCGGGCACGUCAAGGUCCUCUGUCUGGGACUAGUCGGCAACAUACUGCGCUUCUUGUACAUUUCGUGGCUGAAGAAUCCUUGGUGGGUUCUCCCCUUCGAAUUCAUGCAGGGAAUCACCCACGCCGCAGUUUGGGCAGCCUGCUGCAGCUACAUCGCUCACAACACGCCACCCCAGCUGAGAUCAAGCGCUCAAGGUGUUCUCCAGGGUCUUCAUCACGGAUUGGGUCGAGGAUGCGGUGCCGUCAUCGGUGGAAUGUUUGUCGCCAGUUACGGCACCACAGCAACCUUCCGAGCCUAUGGCCUGGUCUGCAUAGGAGUCUUGGCCGCGUUUAUAUUCAUAAACUUUUACCGAAAGGACACGGGAUUCGUCUCGGAACUACCACAGACGGAAGACCCUCACCAAGUAGCCGAAGCAACGCAUUUGGCCCCGCACGGAGUUCCCAGCAACGCAAUUCCUCGUGCUUUGAGCUCGAGUCGACUUCACGAGCUGGCCAAUCAGGAACCGGGAUACGGUGCCACUUAUCAGACGUCAGGUGGAAACCUGGAUAUUCCCGGUGGUAACGGAGGGAACACUAAUCCUACGAAUCCAUUCCUGAACGGCGGAGGAGGCGGUGGAGGUGGAGGUGGAGGUGGAGGUGGAGGCGGUGGUUAUAAUUACGGAGUGGCCGGCAAAGGGGAAGAUGAAUUUAUUCGUAGGAGCUUCCAGGUCGAGCAUGGAAUAUCCCGUUAAUAUCGAUAUUAGACGUUCAUUAUGUUGUUUGCCCGAUAGUGUCGAAUGAUCAAAUCUUCGCGUCUCGCAGUGUCGCGUCCAGUCAAAUACGUGAAGUGGUCGGGAGGGAAUACGACUUGGCAAAAGUACCGGAGACCUAUCUCCACGCCCAACAGCCUUGCACUAAUCCGUUUCACCAGCA
rnacentral:misc_RNA from 1 species